ACGGGAGGCAGCAGUGGGGAAUAUUGCACAAUGGGCGAAAGCCUGAUGCAGCGACGCCGCGUGAGUGAAGAAGUAUUUCGGUAUGUAAAGCUCUAUCAGCAGGGAAGAAAAAUGACGGUACCUGACUAAGAAGCACCGGCUAAAUACGUGCCAGCAGCCGCGGUAAUACGUAUGGUGCAAGCGUUAUCCGGAUUUACUGGGUGUAAAGGGAGCGCAGGCGGUACGGCAAGUCUGAUGUGAAAGCCCGGGGCUCAACCCCGGUACUGCAUUGGAAACUGUCGAACUAGAGUAUCGGAGGGGUAAGCGGAAUUCCUAGUGUAGCGGUGAAAUGCGUAGAUAUUAGGAGGAACACCAGUGGCGAAGGCGGCUUACUGGACGAUAACUGACGCUGAGGCUCGAAAGCGUGGGGAGCAAACAGGAUUAGAUACCCUGGUA
rnacentral:rRNA from 1 species